AAUCAACGCUGGCGGCGUGCCUAACACAUGCAAGUCGAACGAGAAAGUGGAGCAAUCCAUGAGUAAAGUGGCGCACGGGUGAGUAACACGUGACUGACCUACCCUUGAGUGGGGGAUAACCUAGGGAAACCUAGGGCUAAUACCGCAUAAUAUCGAGAGAUCAAAGGAGCAAUUCGCUUAAGGAGGGGUCGCGGCUGAUUAGCUAGUUGGUGGGGUAAUGGCCCACCAAGGCUGUGAUCAGUAUCCGGCCUGAGAGGGCGCACGGACACACUGGAACUGAAACACGGUCCAGACUCCUACGGGAGGCAGCAGUGGGGAAUUUUGCGCAAUGGGGAAACCCUGACGCAGCAACGCCGCGUGGAGGAUGAAGUCCC
rnacentral:rRNA from 1 species